GGGCAAACCUAUGAGAGUCAGGAGUUCUUUCCCACAUUAAGCAAGGCUGAACAUGCUGCUGCAAGAGCUGCAUUGAUGUCACUGGCACCGAAUGGAGUUGAAGAGGAUGAAUCUGCUUACAAGAACCUUUUGCAAGAACUGGCUCAAAAAGAAUGUUAUCGAUUGCCAACUUAUAGUACAAUCAAAUCUGGUGAAGCUCAUAGACCAACUUUUGUUUCUACCGUAGAGGUAGAAGGAGAGUCGUUUACAGGGCAGGAAGCGAGAACUAAGAAGCAGGCGGAGUUGAGUGCAGCAAAGGUUGCUUACACAGCUUUAAAACAGCGCAGAAGAAAGGAAAAGGAAG
rnacentral:misc_RNA from 1 species